UUUACCUUUUUUCGUUUUCUUCAUAACUUAGUCAACAACGAGAAAUGGUUAGAAUCAGCUUCUAUCACGUUCCCCAUUCGAGGACAUUCCUAUAUGGAAUGUGAUAAGAAUUUUGGCCUCGUAAACCAAAAAAGCAGAGCAGAUCUUCCCAAAGACUGGUUGAAAAUAUUGGAAGAAUCAUGCCAUUCCCCAACUCCAUUUACGGUUAUCGAGGUCAAUCACACCUUUUUCCGCAGCUGGGGAAAAUUUCUUGACAAUAGUUACGCAAAAAAGUCGCCAUUCCCAUCUAGACCAAUCAGAGAAAUUAAGAUAAAUAGAGGACCUUUGAUACAGUAUCGCACUACAUAUAAUGGAUGUUGGGAGUCAGCUUCGCUGCAAGGAAAAAACCGAAAGUUUUCGCGAUUAGCUGUUCGUCAUCUUCAAGACAACGAAUUUAUGCUACCUGAGUUAAGUUAUGAAGGGCAGCUUCCAAUAUCUGCUGAGAAGUUUCGGGACCUGCAGCAUUUAAAAAAGUUUUGCAACAAAGCAGCGCAAGACUUUUUUUCAAACCUGCCGCAUCACUAAUUAACGGAUUGGAAUAUUGUUUGGAGCCUUUCGCACUAACGACGAUCGAGGUUAUGAUUACUGUGAAAGAACAGACUCAUUUCAAUAAAAUGAACCCCUUUUUCCCCUGUCACUUUUGUACCUGUAUACGAUUUUAUUAUUUUUUUGUACUGAACGGAAAUACAAACAGUCUCAAAACACUUAGGGAGUUUGUUUAUUGUUUUAUCUUCACAAAAAAAAAAGUUAAUUGAUUGAAAAAAGCAACAU